UCAGACAUGGUGUAGUGGGAACGCGGCUUUCUAUUCUCAUAAAGUUAGCACGAGAGGCAGUCCAGGGUUCGAUUCCCUGUGUCUGAA